AGGCUGAAAUUCGCCUGCAUGAAGCCGGAAUUGCUAGUAAUGGCAGGUCAGCAUACUGCCGUGAAUACGUUCCCGGGCCUUGUACACACCGCCCGUCACACCAUGAGAGUUGGGGAUACCCAAAGCCCGUGAGCCAACUUUAAAAGAGGCAGCGGUCUAAGGUAGAAUCAAUGAUUGGGGUGAAGUCGUAACAAGGUACC
rnacentral:rRNA from 1 species